UACGUAGGGUGCGAGCGUUGUCCGGAAUUACUGGCGUAAAGCGUGCGCAGGCGGUUGUGUAAGACAGAAUGUGAAAUCCCCGGGCUCAACCCUGGGAACUGCAUUUGUGACUGCACGGCUCGAGUGCGGCAGAGGGGGGAUGGAAUUCCGCGUGUAGCAGUGAAAUGCGUAGAGAUCGGGAAGAAUACCCGUGGCGAAGGCGGCCAGCUGGGCCAGGUCCGACACUGAGGCGCGAAAGCGUGGGGAGCAAACAGG
rnacentral:rRNA from 1 species